AUUGAACGCUGGCGGCAGGCCUAACACAUGCAAGUCGAGCGAGCGGCGGACGGGUGAGUAAUGUCUGGGAACCUGCCUGAUGGCGGGGGAUAACUAGUGGAAAAGGUAGCUAAUACCGCAUACCAUCAGAUGUGCCCAGGUGGGAUUAGCUGGUAGGUGGGGUAACGGCUCACCUAGGCGACGAUCCCUAGCUGGUCUGAGAGGAUGACCAGCCACACUGGAACUGAGACACGGCCCAGACUCCUACGGGAGGCAGCAGUGGGGAAUAUUGCACAAUGGGCGCAAGCCUGAUGCAGCCAUGCCGCGUGUGUGAAGAAGGCCUUCGGGUUGUAAAGCACUUUCAUCGGGGAGGCGUUACCCGCAGAAGAAGCACCGGCUAACUCCGUGCCAGCCGCCGCGGUAAUUC
rnacentral:rRNA from 1 species